UGGGGAAUAUUGCACAAUGGGCGCAAGCCUGAUGCAGCCAUGCCGCGUGUAUGAAGAAGGCCUUCGGGUUGUAAAGUACUUUCAGCGGGGAGGAAGGGAGUAAAGUUAAUACCUUUGCUCAUUGACGUUACCCGCAGAAGAAGCACCGGCUAACUCCGUGCCAGCAGCCGCGGUAAUACGGAGGGUGCAAGCGUUAAUCGGAAUUACUGGGCGUAAAGCGCACGCAGGCGGUUUGUUAAGUCAGAUGUGAAAUCCCCGGGCUCAACCUGGGAACUGCAUCUGAUACUGGUAAGCUUGAGUCUCGUAGAGGGGGGUAGAAUUCCAGGUGUAGCGGUGAAAUGCGUAGAGAUCUGGAGGAAUACCGGUGGCGAAGGCGGCCCCCUGGACGAAGACUGACGCUCAGGUGCGAAAGCGUGGGGAGCAAACAGG
rnacentral:rRNA from 1 species